GAUGAACGCUGGCGGCGUGCCUAAUACAUGCAAGUCGAGCGAACGGACGAGAAGCUUUCUUCUCUGAUGUUAGCGGCGGACGGGUGAGUAACACGUGGAUAACCUACCUAUAAGACUGGGAUAACUUCGGGAAACCGGAGCUAAUACCGGAUGAUAUUUUGAACCGCAUGGUUCAAAAGUGAAAGACGGUCUUUCUGUCACUUAUAGAUGGAUCCGCGCUGCAUUAGCUAGUUGGUAAGGUAACGGCUUACCAAGGCAACGAUGCAUAGCCGACCUGAGAGGGUGAUAGGCCACCAUGGAACUGAGACACGGUCCAGACUCCUACGGGAGGCAGCAGUAGGGAAUCGUCCGCAAUGGGCGAAAGCCUGACGGAGCAACGCCGCGUGAGUGAUGAAGGUCUUCGGAUCGUAAAACUCUGUUAUUAGGGAAGAACAUAUGUGUAAGUACCUGUGCACAUCUUGACGGUACCUAAUCAGAAAGCCACGGCUAACUACGUG
rnacentral:rRNA from 1 species